rnacentral:misc_RNA from 1 species
GCAUCGAACUGCUUCCCUCACUUUCGAUCAGUUGUUGCUCCACGAGAUAAACGUUGGACGCAAGACAUGGGUUCCUGUGUUGCAUACCUAUUGCGACGGAAAUGUGUGCCUUCGAUCGUCUCUUCCAUCACGGCGUCCUCACGGAUGCUCGGUUGGACCGGAUAGUGGGGCUCGUGUUCCACGAACGUCGUCUCAUUCGAUCGUUCGGAUGGACCACGGGUGCCCACUCGUUCUCUCGGAUGCGGAACUCUCUUAAUGGGCGUGGGGUCAUUGGCCCUUGGUCCCUAAUCGUUAAGCGUUUAUCGCUUCACCGGAAUGACGAUCUCGCCUUGUCCUUGACCACGCGAAGCCCUCGGGCAUCGCGACGGAUCAUGCUCGGCGGACGUCGUGAAGGAAUGC